AAAAGCCAGAGAACUGAUUGGCUGCCAUGGGGAAGAAGAAGCCUCAGUGUUGGGUUUUAACAGCCCAGCUCCUUGACUCUGCCCUUUCUGGUUCUUAAGAGGCCAAAGCCCCGUGAAGCCAGGGACAUUGUCUCUGCCGCCACCACUGCUGCUGUCCUUAUCAUUUGAGCCG